rnacentral:sRNA from 1 species
GCCAGGCGUGGUGGCGCACGCCUGUAGUCCCAGCUACUUGGGAGGCUGAGGCAGAAGAAUUGCUCGAACCCGGGAGGCGGAGGUUGCAGUGAGCCGAGAUCGCGCCACUGCACUCCAGCCUGGGCCACAGAGUGAGACUCUGUCUCAA